CAGAGCCGCGGUAAUACCGAGGGUGCAAGCGUUAAUCGGAAUUACUGGGCGUAAAGCGCGCGUAGGUGGUUUGUUAAGUUGGAUGUGAAAGCCCCGGGCUCAACCUGGGAACUGCAUCCAAAACUGGCAAGCUAGAGUACGGUAGAGGGUGGUGGAAUUUCCUGUGUAGCGGUGAAAUGCGUAGAUAUAGGAAGGAACACCAGUGGCGAAGGCGACCACCUGGACUGAUACUGACACUGAGGUGCGAAAGCGUGGGGAGCAAACAGGAUUAGAUACCCGCGUAGUCCCUGUCUCUUAUACA
rnacentral:rRNA from 1 species